UCAGAUAGUUAUGCAGUCAUCACCUUGCAAAAACAGUUUACCAACUUAAAGUACUCCUCCAAAGUUUGAAAAAAUCCAGUUUACGUAAAAACCAAAAUCGUCGAAAUGAACACUUUGGUUAAACUUGUCGCCAUGGUGGCACUACUUUUUGCAACCGUUUACGCCACCAAUUUUAACGAUAAGGCUGGACAAGAUGGAUCGGGCUCAGCUUCGAAACCAGAUUCUAAGUGGCUUUUCCCAGGAUUUUGGAUUCCACUCCCGAACCUUACCCCACCCACUGGAAACGCAACUGGUUGAAAUAUUCAGUCGGUCUGGAAAAUUUAGAGAUUUGUUAAGUAGGUCGUGAAAUAUAAUUUUUAGCCAAAUUUUUAUGAAAUACAUUGUCAAGUAUGAUUGUAGUUUUUGAUAGAAAUAAAUACGAGUUAAACUUAUUGGAAGAA